UACAGAGGGUGCAAGCGUUGUUCGGAAUUAUUGGGCGUAAAGGGCGCGUAGGCGGCGUGUCAAGUCAGGCGUGAAAGCCCCGGGCUCAACCUGGGAACCGCGCUUGAGACUGGCAUGCUCGAGUUCGGGAGAGGAUGGUGGAAUUCCCAGUGUAGAGGUGAAAUUCGUAGAUAUUGGGAAGAACACCGAUGGCGAAGGCAGCCAUCUGGACCGACACUGACGCUGAGGCGCGAAAGCGUGGGGAGCAAACAGG
rnacentral:rRNA from 1 species